rnacentral:rRNA from 1 species
ACAAUGGGGGGUACAGAGGGCCGCUACCACGCAAGUGGAUGCCAAUCCCCAAAACCUCUCUCAGUUCGGAUUGAAGUCUGCAACCCGACUUCAUGAAGCUGGAUUCGCUAGUAAUCGCGCAUCAGCCACGGCGCGGUGAAUACGUUCCCGGGCCUUGUACACACCGCCCGUCAAGCCAUGGGAGCCGGGGGUACCUGAAGUGCGUAACCGCAAGGAGCGCCCUAGGGUAAAACUGGUGACUGGGGCUAAGUCGUAACAAGGUACC